rnacentral:rRNA from 1 species
GACGAACGCUGGCGGCGUGCUUAACACAUGCAAGUCGAACGGAAAGGCCCUGCUUUUGUGGUGUGCUCGGGUGGCGAACGGGUGAGUAACACGUGAGUAACCUGCCCUUGACUUUGGGAUAACUUCAGGAAACUGGGGCUAAUACCGGAUCGGAGCUCCUGCUGCAUGGUGGGGGUUGGAACGUUUCGGCGGUUGGGGAUGGACUCGCGGCUUAUCAGCUUGUUGGUGGGGUAGUGGCUUACCAAGGCUUUGACGGGUAGCCGGCCUGAGAGGGUGACCGGCCACAUUGGGACUGAGAUACGGACCAGACUCCUACGGGAGGCAGCAGUGGGGAAUAUUGCACAAUGGGCGGAAGCCUGAUGCAGCAACGCCGCGUGCGGGAUGACGGCCUUCGGGUUGUAAACCGCUUUCGCCUGUGACGAAGCGUGAGUGACGGUAAUGGGUAAAGAAGCACCGGCUAACUACGUG